CUUGCAAAAUCCACAGAGUCCCUGUUGGCAAGUCCUUACCACAAAGGACACCAUGGCAGUAUACACUCCAGCUAACCUCACCAGCUUAUCCAAGUCUUCUCUUUCUGCUGACCUACCACUGCUGACUUCAUCUUUGCAUGUUUACUGACUGCUCACUUUUCUCAAAAUAUUCCUCGAUGAACCUCACCUUAACUUCUAAUGUGUAUGUACUUCCUCUGUGUUUUGGUAAACACCACCCUAUAUUUUCAUGUCAAUUCUUCUCUACCUGGUCCUUGCCUCCUAGUUUUGCUUGUUCCACAGCUGACUCUCUAUGAAGAAGAAAAAUUU